GUCCAUUCCCUGCUUUUAUAGGUACAUGAAAUUAAACUCUUUCAUUUUCUGCUUAUGUUUUACGAUUUCUAUCUUUAAUGGCAUCCACUUCGCCAAGAACGGUGAAAUCUGAGCUUUAAAUCCACCUUAAAUUACCAAAAUUAAUGUCAAUUUGGCUUCUUAUUUCUUGCAGUUUUCUCAUCGUUUAGACGGCUUGAUGAGGCUUGAACAUUUUCCACAAGAUUUCCCCCCUAUUUUGGAUUAAAGUUAAGGUCCUAGUACGAGCACCUAAUGUGGUGGUUGAUUUUGUGCAGAGAUCUUAGAAUUUUACGGAUUGAUUCACUCUAGAGUUUGGAGUUGAUUCAUACCUCAUCCAUCCCUACUUGUCUUUAUUUUUAUUUUAAGAGACAGAUGUGUAAUAUUAGUUUUUGAAUAUUGUACUAGAAUGUUCUUACAUUAUGACACCAGGUUCUGGGUGACCUAUGUUAUUUCUUUCAGACUUCUACUAUUAUUAUACUUGUAUACGUCUGACUUCAUUCUAGAAGUCCCACCUUGGGUUAUGUUGUUUUUUUUAUAUUUCUUUAUUAGUUUGGGUGAUUGGCAUACUUAUCAAGGUUGAGCCACGAUAAGUGUCAUCAUGACCCAUUUUUGGAUCGUGACUAUGGGUUACUAACUCUUGGACUAGAUUAUGGAGUUCAUUAUAAGAGAGGUUCUGAGAACAAAGUAGUUAAGGCUCUCUUAAGAAGAUACUGAAGAUACUUGUCACGUUCUGAUUUGACACUCUAGAUGUAACCGACACUCAUAAACACAAGUGGCUUGAGAUAAUCACUUGUCCUGCAUGAGACUGAAAAAAUACAUGCUGAAAGAUAAAGUGGAAGCUGGAGAAUGGUAAAUA